ACAGAAAUCUUUUUUGUAAGACUGCAACAGGACAGGUUCAUUAGACUCACCAGGGGUCCGCUUCACAAAGCAGGUUUAGUGAAAACCAUAGGCGUUUCUAGCCCAUUUUUGGGGGGUGCUUGAGCAUCCCCAAAUUGAAUCCCAGCACCCGUAAAGAUUGAGAGAUUUUUUGUAUUGCAUAUCCUUGUUUUUUUUUUUUUUUUAACAAACCAGAAAAGUGUAAAAAUCAUACAGCACUUGGUUGAUACGUAAUGUUUUAACAACAAAAAUACAGCACUCCUCUCCCCCUAUCUUGCCUCAAAAAUGGUUUGAUCCCGUCCAACUUUCCCAACUCGGGUUCUGAGCCUUUACGCUUUACCUGCAGAGCUAAGCGCUGCCUCCCACAGAAAGACAUGUUUCGUAGCAGUGCAAGUACCUGGUUUAAAUCAGGACACGUGGCACAAUUCUUAACUUCUACCACUCAAUACCAACACAUUAUUAUCAUUACAAGUCCUCGUUUUUGCUGCAUUUAAUCACAGGUUACUGUUUAUGUUGUUAGGUAGGAGUUAGCUGACGUUUUUUCUAGCUAGCAAACGUUAUAGGUGGUCAGUGUCUGUUUGAACUGGACAGAGAAGCUAGCUGUUGUGUCAGUGCAUGUGUUAAUAUUAAAGCAAAGGUGCUACUGACUAGCUAACUGACUGGAUGCCCAUUAAUAUUAUAACUCCUAUUGUGUGUGUGUGUGUGGACAGACAGACAGACAGACAGCCUCAUCAUGGACAUAAGACUGUUUCUUAAAAAAAAGAGCCAGGAGCAGGUAAGAGUGUAAGAUGAAAUGGCUUAUCUACCAUGAGUAAUGUUGUAAGUUGAAUCAAUGUAUCAGUGUUUAUAUCUCUUAUUAGAUAUAAAAUGCAUUGCUUGGUUAUUUGCUUUUAGGCUGACAGCACAAAGAGAGAGAGAGAGAGGACGUUAUUUAUUUGUAUUCUUAUUGGUAUUUUUUCAUAUUUAUGUAAUUUCUCAUCGAGUUGAAUACAAUCUACUUGUGUAUGAUUGUCAGUCCAAAGAGGGAGAGACGAAAAAGGGGAAGGAGAAGAGAGAGUGCAAGGUCAGGAAGAACCAGGUAAGAACACAAACAGAGAAUAGAGGCAACAGCACCUGUUAAGAUGACAAAGAAGAACAUUCCAUUCACAAUAUAAUUUUACAUAUAUGUCAUGGAAGUUAUGUGUUCUCCCCACAUUAAAUGCUUUUCAGAAGCACACUUAACAGGUAUCAGUGGACUUCAAUUUAAACAGGACGUCUUCAUUACAUUUUCCUAAUUAUCUGUAUGCUUUAAUAUUUGCUUAAUUUCACUAUACAAGGAAGAGAAGAACAGGGAGAGACUCGAGAAGAUGAGAGAGAGCAGACCAGGGAAAGAGAUGCUGUGCAUCGCAUUUCAAAUAAAAGUCAAAAAUAAAGUCCAAGGUCCAUAUUUGGUGUUUUUGGUACUCAGUAUAGGGGGCUGGUUUACUCCAGAAACAUACAUGCUAUUUAUGUGUAUGUUAAGGAGCUGCUGCAUCUAAAUUAGUCACUUUUCCAAGAAAUUAGGGUUGUGAUAGGUUUCUUUUAAGAUUCCAGAGCAUUCCUCCUUUGCUGUGACUCAGCAUUUAAAUAUCCUUUAUCAGAUUGGAUGGUUUAGUCACAGACUUUUUCUAAAAGUGUUAUGCUUUUCUUUAACAAAUGUGGGAAUGAAAUUGCGUUAAAAUGUACAAAACAGUGAAAUUUAUCUUCCCUGGCCAGGCACCUCUGGGUGUUCAGCACCCCUAAACAUUUGAUCCUAGAAUCACCCCUGGUGAAAACUCGAAGUCUGUUAACCUUGAAAUGAGGGAAAGUCAGAGUUUUCCAUUUCACAAAGGUAGGUAACUCAAACCAGAGAAAGAAGGGUAACUCUAGCCUGUUUCACAGAGAAAGGUAAUUUAAGCUCUCGGUCAGUUACCGUAGUAACAGACUCUAUGAACCUAACCUGGUUGGGACCAGGUUUUUCUCAGUAAACCUUGAGUUUCUCUCUCUCUCCACCCUCUUUCAGCAACACACACUAUCUGAUUUCCUCAUUCAUUCAUUCAGUCAGCUGGUAAGCUUUGGCAUAGCCUAGUUCUGCAGUCUGUUAAAAUGGCAUGUCCUUUCAUGAACGAUCCAAUGGAUGAAGGAGUAGCAUUACUGCGCAGAGAAUUAAAUAUUUGUCAGGAGAUUGUUAUCAGACCGAGCAUAAGUGUUCUCACAUUUCUGGACAAUUAAUCUUUUUGAGCGGGGCCGUUUCACAUCACAGUCCAACCACAGUCAUGCUGUCACAUCUCAGCAGAUAUUGUGUGUUGCGCUGCAGUUCUUUGCAAAUAGAAAUUUUUUUAUAUAAUGUCAGAGAUGCAGAGCACUUAAGUAAGGCAACUGUAUGCAGGGCAGUCAGAAAAGUGUGCCUUGCCCGGAAACGGUUUCUACCCGUCUUUGUGUUUCUUAAAAUGUUUUUACUUAUUUAUUUUAUUUUACUCUGUUAAGCGCCUUGUGCUACUUUUGGCUGUUGGAAAGCGCUUUAUAAAUAAAAUUUGAUUGAUUGAUUGAUUGAUUGAUUGAUUUGUGGUUUUCCCUGGACAUAAACUUGUCACCUGAGCCAUCAAGGAGGAGUUCCACAGGAUUGCAGGUGAAUGAUGUAGAGAUCUGUUAAAUGAAUUUUAAUUCAUAUUCUGUUAAUGACAUUGUGCUGCAACCUCAGACUGGGAUUAGUAAUUUUAAUUUCUUUUUGGAUUUCCCAGUGUGAUUGGCUGCAUAGAUGGCCCACACAUCCCCAUCACAGCUCCCUAUAAUAAAGAACAUGAUUACGUGAAUAAGAAGUCCAUUAAUGCAUUAAUGUGCAGGAUCAUAUGUGAUGCUGCAUACAUCAUUUUUGAUGUGGAGACAUUAGCCUGGGUCUGUUCAUGACUCAAGGAUUUAUGGAGAGUCCAACCUGAGCAACAGACUGCAACAUGGAGAGUUUGAUAGCCUUCUGCUGGGUGAAAGGGAUUACCCAUGCCAACCUAGGCUGAUCACCUCACCCUGACCCUGAACCAGGCCCCCAACAGAACUUCAACCGGGCUCACUGCAGGACGAGAGCCCGGUGGAGAUGACCAUAGGCCUGCUAAAAACGCCCGUUUCUAGGACCGACGUCGCUUCAGGGUGACCCCUGAGAGGGCCUGUGAUCCCCCUAUAGGGACCUUGUAACUGUAAGUUACAUGGUCUGUUGGGCCAAAAGAAUUGUCAUAUAUAUACACAUAC